UAUCGGACGGCAACUGGAAAGGUACCUGUUUGUCAUGUUGGUGGCUAUAUUUAGUAUGUGAAACUGAUUAAAACCUGGCUUGACUGAGGUUGCAAAGCUUGCAAGACAUUUGAAUAGAUAAAUUUCAAAAUUCCAUAUUUCCAUUAUUGGGAAAUAUUUGACUGGGAGUCCUUGCAUGCAUUUGAGUAUUAAAUUCUUAGAAGUAUCAUAUUUAGUAUAGCAUAUCAAUUUAUGCCUACUAUUCAGAUGCUACUUUUCAAGGAAGUUAUUUUAAAUUGCUUUGUGUUGGCUAAUGAUCAAAUAUGGAAAUGAAAUGAAAUUCUGCAGGCUGGUGUAGUGAG
rnacentral:misc_RNA from 1 species